AACGAACGCUGGCGGCAGGCUUAACACAUGCAAGUCGAACGCCCGUAGCAAUACGGGAGUGGCGGACGGGUGGGGAAUACGUAGGAAUCUGCCCUUAAGUGGGGGAUAACCAGGGGAAACCCUGACUAAUACCGCAUGAUCUCUUCGGAGCAAAGAGGGGGACCGCAAGGCCUCUCGCUUCUGGAUGAGCCUACGUCUGAUUAGCUAGUUGGUAGGGUAAAGGCCUACCAAGGCGACGAUCAGUAACUGGUCUGAGAGGAUGAUCAGUCACACCGGAACUGAGACACGGUCCGGACUCCUACGGGAGGCAGCAGUGGGGAAUAUUGGACGAUGGGCGCAAGCCUGAUCCAGCAAUGCCGCGUGUGUGAAGAAGGCCUUCGGGUUGUAAAGCACUUUAGCCUGGAAAGAAAAAACUUUGGUUAACGCCCAAAGUCUUGACGGUACCAGGAGAAUAAGCACCGGCUAACUCUGUGCCAGCCGCCGCUGUAAAAC
rnacentral:rRNA from 1 species